CCAGACUCCUACGGGAGGCAGCAGUGGGGAAUAUUGCACAAUGGGGGAAACCCUGAUGCAGCGACGCCGCGUGAGCGAAGAAGUACCUCGGUAUGUAAAGCUCUAUCAGCAGGGAAGAAGAUGACGGUACCUGACCAAGAAGCUCCGGCUAAAUACGUGCCAGCAGCCGCGGUAAUACGGGGGAUGCAAGCGUUAUCCGGAUUUAUUGGGUUUAAAGGGUGCGUAGGCUGUGAGGUAAGUCAGCGGCGAAAUGCCCCCGCUCAACGGGGUGAAGUGCCAUUGAUACUGCCUUGCUGGAAUGCGGAUGCCGUGGGAGGAAUGUGUGGUGUAGCGGUGAAAUGCAUAGAUAUCACACAGAACACCGAUUGCGAAGGCAUCUGACGAAUCGGAGAUUGACGCUGAUGCACGAAAGCGUGGGUAUCGAACAGGAUUAGAUACCCUGGUAUA
rnacentral:rRNA from 1 species